rnacentral:rRNA from 1 species
GACGUAGGUGGCGAACGUUAUCCGGAAUUAUUGGGCGUAAAGGGUGCGUAGAUGGCCUGAUAAGUUAGCAGUGGGAAAUCGAGGCUCAACCUCGUGGAAGCUGGUAAUACUGUCAGGCUCGAGUGCAGGAGAGGUUAACGGAACUCCAUGUGGAGCGGUAAAAUGUGUAGAUAUAUGGAAGAACACCAAUAACGGCGAAGGCAGUUAACUAUUCUGUUACUGACAUUAAGGCACGAAAGCGUGGGGAGCAAAACGG